ACUGUGGAGUAUACGUGAACUUGUGAGUAGUAUAUUUAAUUUUGUGUUGAAUUAUGAAAGCAUAUACGUUGAAGCAGUAA
rnacentral:ncRNA from 1 species